GGUGGAUUAAGAUUCUCUAGCCAUGAUGAAGCGUUGUUCAUCAUGAGGUUCGGUCGUUCUAUUUUCACAACAAUAAACACAAUGGUUUUCUUUCGCGACUCUUUUUGAACGUAGAUCUCCUGUAAGUAGGUAUCUGAAUUCUGAACUGAUAGAAGCGGCCAGAAAGACGAUUUUCAAUUUAUUCAUUUUAUUGAUAACGUUGCAGGUAUUUUCGAACUAUUUUUUUUGUGGAAAAUUAAAUAUAAUAUUGUGAUAAAUUAACGUUAAUUUCAAUUUUCAACCGAUCUAUUACUUCGUUGUUGAAUCUUGGGUCGUUUAUUAUUCAUAUCGAACAAGUUAUAGUUUUUAAAGGGAUACGUGUAAUUUUAUCAAUCCUUAGAUUACUGAUUAACUACUCGCGAAUCGAAUAUUUUAUUCAAUUAUGAGCGUCCAUGAAAUGAUAGCUCCAGCUGUAGACAGUGACCCUCUAUGGAACCUACUCGUAAUUGCUGAAGACCUAGUCAGCUCGAUAGCAAAAUUCAUCUUAGUUUUUACGGUGGGUUUUAUAGGCCUCCACAUUACAAUUCGGAUAAUUCGGUCACUCAUUUCCAAAUACUUCAAGAGAAGAAGAACACCAGAAGAAGAAAGGACUUGGGAGCGGUUCAGAAGACUCUUAAGCCAACUGCCGCAAGAAGAAGUCGACCAAUUAGGGGAUCUGAUACAGGAGCUGGCAGAAAUUCCAGAUGAAUUACGAAUCGCGCAUUUAGAUCGAGGACUCGAAAGAAUUUUUGGUAUAAGGAUGCCAAAUUGAUCGCGCAGUAGAAAUCUCGAGGUUUUUAGUACCUAAGUAUACCUGAUCAAUCUACCAAACAGUUAUGUUUCAAAUAUUACGCAAGUUUUCUCAAAUCGAAAAAUUACCAAGUUCAUGAUACCAGCGUGAAUUUCUAUGAGUUAAUUUCUCGUUUUGUUGUACAUCACAUUUAUAUUGCCUAUAUCUAAUUAAUUUA